GUAGGCGUAGCCGUCUAGUUUCCCACCUGCUGUACCCUCCAAAUGCUGAAAGAAAAGCGUGGAGGAUGAGCCACGGUAUACACCGCGUUAUAUAGACACGAUACCGUGGGAAAUGUGGGCGCUGCCCACGCUGAUUGGUGCAUAGUUUGACAUUUUCAGCGGGACAAGCCCAAAAGGCGAAGCCUAUACGGCUACGCCUACAAUCAUAGAACUAGAGUUAUAAUAACAUAACUAUCGUUACGUAUUUUAAGCACAUAAGCUGCCCCCACAUAGCCAUUAGGAAGCAGGAUCGAACACACAAGCUGCAUUACCCUCACAUAGCCACUAGGAAGCAGGAUCGAACACAUAAGCUGCAAUAAUUACUCUAGCCACAGAUGGCAGCACCGUUAGACAGGUGAGGAUGGCGGAGCCAUUACGUCACCCCGGUCACGCCCACUUCACAGAGGCCACGCCCACUUGACGGGCAAAAGCGAGUGAUUCAGAUGGAGAGGACAGAGAUCAAUAGGUACACCAGCGGAGAGACACGGGCCUAAGCCCGUGGCUUGAAGCCAUCGCGGUAUUUCUCUCACACGCGUUAGAUACAAUUCCCUCCCUUAUGCCUCGUGCCCACUACCUCCGUCCGUUGACUGAUCCCCAUUGACUUUGAAUGGGGACGGACGUGCAAUGCAUUGUGGAUCCGUCCGUUCCGUUGGAGCCUUUAACUCCGUCAAAAAGUUGAAAAAGGUUCAACUUUUUCGGCAGCAACGGAUCCGUCAUCCAAUCAGAUCACGUAUGCAAAUUUAAGCACUGUGACGCCACUCGGGCUCUGACGAUACUGGAAAGCGGGUAAGCAGCGGGGAAGUUAAUUAAAAAAUGAAGGACAAACUCAUAAUUGCCGUUGGUUCUCGCCCCAUUUUAUACGACCAGUCCAUGUACACCUACAGGGACACCAUACUCAAAGAUCGGGCAUGGCAAGAUGUGUCAUUGGAGGUGGGGGAAACGGUGCCUGAAUGUGUGAAGAGGUGGAUAUCCCUCAGGGACAGAUAUCGGAGGGGGAGGAUGAAGGAGAAGGAAGCCCAUAGGAGUGGGGAAGGGGCCAGUGAGAAGCAGCCUGUAUGGAGGUACAUGGGGGUGAUGGGCUUCCUAGCGCCAUUCCUCCAAGAUAGAGGGACCACCUCCAACCUCCAGCAUCGGAACCCAUCCCCGGUGUCGGUGGUGGCGGUGACAGAGGAGCAUGGACGUGGUUCACAUGAAGAGGCAGGUGCGCUGUAACCCCCAGCACUAGCAGCAGCAAUGGUAGAUGGGCAGCCACAGCCCCAG
ensembl:lncRNA